rnacentral:rRNA from 1 species
GACGAACCGUGCGAGCGUUGUUCGGAAUUACUGGGCGUAAAGCGCGCGCAGGCGGCUCUUUAAGUCUGACGGUGAAAUGCCGGGGCUCAACCCCGUGCCCGCCGCGGAUACUGGGGGGCUGGAGACGAGUAGAGGCAAGCGGAAUUCCGGGUGUAGUGGUGGAAUGCGUAGAUAUCCGGAGGAACACCAGUGGCGAAAGCGGCUCUCUGGGGGCAACCUGACGCUGAGGCGCGAAAGCGUGGGGAGCGAACCGG